GCUGCUUUUCAUGCAUGUCCCUGGGCAGAACACGAGGACGUAUCACUGUAUAUCAUGUAUCUCUAUUACAAAUGGUUGCAGAGACAAGAAAAUAUGUUCAAGCUAUAUUUCUCCUUGUACAAGAACAUCAACAAGAGCCCUCCUCUCCCAAUUCUGAGAUGAACAGCGGUCACGGCAGCCGCUGAAUGAACUUGGAGACACUGAGAUAAGUCUUUUUUGUUUCAAGACUUGACAGCUUUGUGCUCCUGCAGUCACAGGGGAUUGACCUGACUGCCUUCUCUGAUAGCUUCCUGCAGGGCUCUACAGAAUCACUUUUACUUUGAUUACCCAGUGAUUUACAGCCCUUCUCAUUUGCUUCUCUAUCUCCUGUUUCCAGAGUGUGGGGGAGCUUUCUUCAGACCCUGUCACCUCAAAGCGAUUUUACUUACCUCCCAGAAGUUCAAGGCCUGUCUCCAUUACAUAAUUUUGGUUCUCCUAAGUAAUGAUUGUUCACUUUUUUCUUUUGUCUUCUUUCUCCUCCUUCUCAUGCUCCCCUGCCGAUUGCUACUCUCCUUCUCUCUUUAGCAUCGGUGUUUUUAUAAUGGAAGCAGAUUUCCUAUAUAACGCUCUAAUUUUAGUAAUGAUUCCCAAAUAGAGAAAGAAAAAAUUUUUGGUUAAGCGUCUGUAAUUCUUGUGAGUUACAGGGUGUAUUAGUCAGUGCUUACUAGAAUCAGAUGUAAAGGAGUACAAAACAUCUGUCUGCAUGCUGGAGACCUGAAGGAUCCGCGGAGGGCCUGGAGCCCCUGGCAAUGUCCCCUUCAAAUCCCUAUCAGGAGGCAGGAGGAUCAGUGAUGGGAGACUGAAGGAUCUGCACUGAAAAGGCCCAAGGGCCAGGGUGGGUAGCUGUAGUGUCUGUGCCAAAAGGCUGAAGGACCUGUGCCAGAAGGCUGAGAGAUCUACAGUGGAAGCCAGGAAGAAACACCCAAGAUGAAGACGAGGAUUAAAGCUCCCCAAAGGAGAAAAAACAGUGGAAGCUUUAGAAGAAAAACCACCAAAACUCUUCUAAAGAAAUGCAGUCAUCACAAAGCUCCACCAAGGAAGAUCAGCUGAAAUCCUUCCUGCCCACUCUCCUUUUACACCGUUCAGGUAACAGACCUCCUUAAGCGGAUAUUCCGUGCUCAGAACCGCGGUGACUCAGUUCAGCUGGGUGUGCUCCACUCCAGUUGGCCAUUAGUCAGUUAACCAAUAACAUAGCGUUGUGUUGAUAGUUAUCUCAAUUCCUGAUAUGUCUGCAAAAUAGUGUACCAACACUGAAAUACAGAGAUGUGUUUGUGAG
rnacentral:lncRNA from 1 species